rnacentral:rRNA from 1 species
AUUAUCCUCAUAAGUUUGCGAAAAGAGGUACCACUUAUUUGACUAUUCCUUUGGUACUUUUCCCCCUCUAAUGUUAAGUCUUUUAACAUAAAAGGGUCGUAAUAACUAAAAUAACUUCAAAAACUAGCUUUAAUUAGUUAGGGGAAGGAUUUAGCUUACGACAGCCAGAUUAGUACAUUGUUUAUUUUCAAAUAAGGAGGUGGCACAUAAUCGGAGGCCCCGACUGUUUACUAAAAACACAGCUGAAUGCAAUCAUGUAAAUGAUAGUAUAUUUAGCGAGAUUUGCCCAAUGCCAUUAAUAUAAGAAAGGUCAUUGAAAAAUGUGACUGAUUGAAAAUCUGGUUAAUAGCGGUCUUAACCAUGAGGAUCCUAAGGUAGCAAAAUCAGUUGGCCAUUAAAUGUGGUCCGGUAUCAAUAGUAUAACGAUGGCCUCGCUGUCUCUACAACUUGCUCAGUGAAAUUGAAUUAGCCGUGCAGAUGCGGUUUGUCUUCAGGUAGACGGGAAGACCCUAUGCAGCUU